UACGUAGGGUGCGAGCGUUAAUCGGAAUUACUGGGCGUAAAGCGUGCGCAGGCGGUUCGUUGUGUCGGUGGUGAAAGCCCCGGGCUUAACCUGGGAAUGGCCAUGGAAACUGGCGAACUGGAGUGUGGCAGAGGGGGGGUGGAAUUCCGCGUGUAGCAGUGAAAUGCGUAGAGAUGCGGAGGAACACCGAUGGCGAAGGCAGCCCCCUGGGCUAGCACUGACGCUCAGGCACGAAAGCGGGGGGAGCAAACAGG
rnacentral:rRNA from 1 species